rnacentral:rRNA from 1 species
GACGAACGCUGGCGGCGUGCUUAACACAUGCAAGUCGAACGGAAAGGCCCUGCUUUUGUGGGGUGCUCGAGUGGCGAACGGGUGAGUAACACGUGAGUAACCUGCCCUUGACUUUGGGAUAACUUCAGGAAACUGGGGCUAAUACCGGAUAGGAGCUCCUGCUGCAUGGGGGGGGUUGGAAAGUUUCGGCGGUUGGGGAUGGACUCGCGGCUUAUCAGCUUGUUGGUGGGGUAGUGGCUUACCAAGGCUGUGACGGGUAGCCGGCCUGAGAGGGUGAACGGGCACAUUGGGACUGAGAGAGGGACCAGAAGCCUAUGGGAGGCAGCAGGGGGGAAUAUUGCACAAUGGGCGGAAGUCUGAUGCAGCAACGCCCCGUGCGGGAUGACGGCCUUCGGGUUGUAAACCGCUUUCGCCUGUGACGAAGAGUGAGUGACGGUAAUGGGUAAAGAAGCAACGGCUAACUACGUG